rnacentral:rRNA from 1 species
GACGAACGCUGGCGGCGUGCUUAACACAUGCAAGUCGAACGGAAAGGCCCUGCUUUUGUGGGGUGCUCGAGUGGCGAACGGGUGAGUAACACGUGAGUAACCUGCCCUUGACUUUGGGAUAACUUCAGGAAACUGGGGCUAAUACCGGAUAGGAGCUCCUGCUGCAUGGUGGGGGUUGGAAAGCUUCGGCGGUUGGGGAUGGACUUGCGGCUUAUCAGCUUGUUGGUGGGGUAGUGGCUUACCAAGGCUUUGACGGGUAGCCGGCCUGAGAGGGUGACCGGCCACAUGGGGACUGAGAUACGGCCCAGACUCCUACGGGAGGCAGCAGUGGGGAAUAUUGCACAAUGGGCGGAAGCCUGAUGCAGCAACGCCGCGUGCGGGAUGACGGCCUUCGGGUUGUAAACCGCUUUCGCCUGUGACGAAGCGUGAGUGACGGUAAUGGGUAAAGAAGCACCGGCUAACUACGUG